rnacentral:rRNA from 1 species
GUUCCUACGGGGCGCAGCAGUGAGGAAUAUUGGUCAAUGGGCGGAAGCCUGAACCAGCCAAGUCGCGUGAGGGAAUAAGGCCCUACGGGUCGUAAACCUCUUUUGCCGGGGAGCAAGGGCGGGGACGUGUCCCGGCCCGGAGAGUACCCGGAGAAAAAGCAUCGGCUAACUCCGUGCCAGCAGCCGCGGUAAUACGUAGGGUGCAAGCGUUAUCCGGAUUUAUUGGGCGUAAAGGGCUCGUAGGCGGUUCGUCGCGUCCGGUGUGAAAGUCCAUCGCUUAACGGUGGAUCCGCGCCGGGUACGGG